AGCCCCCACCACCACCCUACCAUCCUGCUCUCACUUACCAGCCUUCUCAUGGAGGAACGACAAUUAGGCCUGAACGAGACGGGCAUUUCCUGGAACAGAUGCUGGCGUUCCCCGUGAAAAGCGACCCCCGUCCUGCAUCUGAGGUUAAGGGACUCUGUCACCAUAGCUAUGGAUAAUCCUGAAGUCCCUCCUGGUUCACUGUAGGCCUGUCGGCUGCUUUGCUGCUUAACAUUCUGUUUGCAUGACGGGAACUGAACGAACAGUGGAAAAAAUGGAGGCUGCAGAGGGAUUGACUGAAUAUUUCCAAGUUCUCCAACAGUUGACAAGCUUAUCUGCAUUGAAGCAACAUUAAUGAUUCAUUUAUUUAUUUUUCUAAAUUGUCUAAAUAGGAGCAAUGGGAGUGCUCCUUAAGAUUUCAUAUAUUUAUUGUUUCUCAUGAAGAUUUGCUUCCACACAGCCCAAUUUGUAUUCAACGUAAGCAAGAGAUUCUGUAGAAGUCCUUUUUAGGCCGGCUGACUAGCAGAGCCAAGCCAUUGAUGGUGAUUUUAAUUUACUUAUUCGGUUUCUAGGGCAAAUAAUACAGAGCUAACUAUACCAGAUGCAGCCAGUUUUCACUGGACAUUGAUAAUAUGAUUGGAAAAGCUUACUGUCUAUUUUUGCAAGCAGUAAUUUUCAAGUAUUUUUACG